GACGAACGCUGGCGGCGUGCCUAAUACAUGCAAGUCGAGCGAGCUUGCCUAGAUGAUUUUAGUGCUUGCACUAAAUGAAACUAGAUACAAGCGAGCGGCGGACGGGUGAGUAACACGUGGGUAACCUGCCCAAGAGACUGGGAUAACACCUGGAAACAGAUGCUAAUACCGGAUAACAACACUAGACGCAUGUCUAGAGUUUGAAAGAUGGUUCUGCUAUCACUCUUGGAUGGACCUGCGGUGCAUUAGCUAGUUGGUAAGGUAACGGCUUACCAAGGCAAUGAUGCAUAGCCGAGUUGAGAGACUGAUCGGCCACAUUGGGACUGAGACACGGCCCAAACUCCUACGGGAGGCAGCAGUAGGGAAUCUUCCACAAUGGACGAAAGUCUGAUGGAGCAACGCCGCGUGAGUGAAGAAGGGUUUCGGCUCGUAAAGCUCUGUUGGUAGUGAAGAAAGAUAGAGGUAGUAACUGGCCUUUAUUUGACGGUAAUUACUUAGAAAGUCACGGCUAACUACGUGCCAGCAGCCGCGGUAAUACGUAGGUGGCAAGCGUUGUCCGGAUUUAUUGGGCGUAAAGCGAGUGCAGGCGGUUCAAUAAGUCUGAUGUGAAAGCCUUCGGCUCAACCGGAGAAUUGCAUCAGAAACUGUUGAACUUGAGUGCAGAAGAGGAGAGUGGAACUCCAUGUGUAGCGGUGGAAUGCGUAGAUAUAUGGAAGAACACCAGUGGCGAAGGCGGCUCUCUGGUCUGCAACUGACGCUGAGGCUCGAAAGCA
rnacentral:rRNA from 1 species